GGAAAACAUACCAGUCCUACCAGUUGUCUGACUCAAUUUUUAAAUUUUUUUCUUUCUAGCACUAUUCACUUUUUUCCUUAUAAGAAUGUCCUGUGACUUCAGGUGUUGUGCAGUUGUUGGUUUCAUUUGUUUCUUCCUUUCUUGCUGACUUACUUUUAUUUUUGGAAAUAUUGUAUAUUGUCCAAUAAGGGAGCACUGGCAUCUAAGUUCAGGAAAGAAGAAUAAAAAGGGUAGAAGAGGAAGAAAAAAAAGCUCAUGGAGAGAGACUAAGAAUUAUAUAUAAAUUCAAUGUGAGAAAUGGUCACUCAUAUGCAGGAUUUAAGUAAGUCAUCUUGAUAUUUGCUUCAGAUUCUGAAAUGGCUGAAAACCGUCAAGAACUUCUAUUUUAUUUGAUUGCCAACAAUGAGAUAAGCAGCUCAGCUCCUGAUCUACACUGAGUGAACUAUGAAAUUUGAAUAAGAAAUAUGAACCUUUGGGUACCUUCUUGUAUGAAAAUUGUCAUCUUUCUAGUCCAAAGAGUUGCCACAAGACCAAGAUACAUGCUUGGGAUUGCUGAUAGCCAUUUAGGCAUCUGUGCUACACCCUAAGGAAGUGCUGCUUUUAAGAAUGAAGAACCACAUAGAGAAAAGAAAUGUCAAGAAAUAGAAAUCUAGUGGAACAAUUUGAUUUGAUUUCUUGAGUUCUACACUCAUUGUGUUUCCUAAAUAUCUGAGCCCAUGUUCUCAUUCUGCUUUUUGCCAGAAUAGAUCAAAGAUUUUUUAAAAAAAUAUGUCAUUUAUUUACUUAUUUGAGAGAAAGAGAGGGGGAGGCAGAGGGAGAGGCCAAGAAUAUUAGAUGCCCUGCUGAGUGUAGAGCCCCACAUAGGGCUCCAUUUUACAACCCUGAGCUCAUGACCUGAGCCAAAAUCAAGAGUCAGGUGGUGCCCACUAAGUCAUGCAGGUGCCCUUAGAUUGAAGGGUUUUUGUUUUAUUUUGUCACAAAUUAAUACUAGAUACUAAAAAAAAUAAAUAAAAAAUAAAAAAAUAAAAAAAAUACUAGACACUAUCAGCAUUUUAUAUAUAUAUGGAUCCC